GCCAGGCCCGGUGGCGCAUGCCUGUAAUCCCAGUGGCUUGGGAGGCUGAGGCAGGCAGAUCGCAAGUUGAAAGCCAGCCUCAG
rnacentral:sRNA from 1 species